UCAAAUCCAGGGACAAUUUGGGACAUUUUGGCGUCAAUUACAGGGACAUUUGGGGACAUUUUGGGGACAUUUUGGAACAAUUUGGGGACAUUUGGGGACAUUUUAGGAGAUUUCUGGGUCAAUUUUGGGGACUUUUGGGUUAAUUUGGGGACAUUUGGGACAAUUUGGGACAUUUGGGGACAUUUGGGACAAUUUGGGAACAUUUGGGACAAUUUGGGGACAAUUUGGGGACAUUUGGGACAAUUUGGGACAAUUUGGGGACAUUUGGGACAAUUUGGAGACAAUUUGGGGACAAUUGGGAACAAUUGGGGCAUUUGGGGACAUUUUGGGGGGUUUGGGGACAUUUUGGGAGGUUUUUGGGUCAAUUUUGGGGACAUUUGGGACAAUUUUGGGGACAUUUUGGGACAUUUGGGGACAUUUGGGGUCAUUUUGGGGUCAACUCCAGGGACAAUAUUGGACUUUUGGGGACAUUUGGGGACAAUUUGGGGACAUUUGGGGUCAAUUUUGGGACAAAUUUGGGACAAUUUUGGGACAUUUUUGGGACCUUUUGUGGCAAAUUUGGGACAAUUUUGGGACAUUUUUGGGUCCUUUUGUGGCAAUUUUGGGUCCGUUCGGGGACAAUUUGGGGACAUCGGAGACAAAUUUUGGGACAUUUGGGGACAUUCUUGGGAGAUUUUCAGGUCCAUUUUGGGGACAUUUGGGACAAAUUUUGGGGACAAUUUGGGGACAUUUGGGACAUUUGGGGGAUUUUGGGGAUAUUUUGGGGGAUUUUGGGAUUUUUCGGAUUUUUUUGGGAUAUUUUGGGGGAUUUUUGGGGGGAUUUUGGGGGUUUUUGGUUGUUUUUUGGGGAUUUAUUUGUGUUUUGGGGAUUUUGGGGUUUUUUGGGGUGUUUUGGGGACAUGUUGGGGAUUUGGGGAUAUUUUGGGGGGAUUUUGGGAUCAUUUGGGGCAUUUUGAGUUGGUUUUGGGGGAUUUGGGGGAUUUUUGGGGUGACUUGGGGAGAUUUGGGCUGAUUUUGGGCCAUUUGGGGAUAUUUGGGGGAUUUUGGGGGGUUUUGGGGAUUUGGGGAGUUUUUCGUUGUUUUGGGGGGAUUUUUUUGUGUUUCGAGGAAUUUGGGGGGUUUUGGCUUGAUUUUUUGGGGAUAUUUUGAUCUAUUUUGGGGGAUUUGGGGAUAUUUUGGGAUAUUUUGGGUGAUUUUGGGACAUUUUGGGAUGUUUUUGGAUAUUUUUGGAUAUUUUUGGGAUGGUUUUGGGACAUUUUAGUGAUUUUUGGGACAUUUUGGGAGAUAUUUUUGGGAUAUUUUGGGAUAUUUUUGGGAUUAAUUUUUUUUUUGGGGACAUUUUGGGAUGUUUUUGGGGGGAUUUUGGGACAUUUCGGGAUGGUUUUCGGGUGAAUUUUUGGGGAUAUUUUUGGGGUGAUUUUGGGACAUUUUAGUGAUUUUGGGACAUUUUGGGAAAUAUUUUUGGGAUAUUUUGGGAUAUUUUUGGGAUGAUUUUUUUUGGGACAUUUUGGAAUGUUUUUGGGGCAUUUUUGGGGUGUUUUUGGGGGAUAUUUUGGGAUGUUU
ensembl:lncRNA